rnacentral:ncRNA from 1 species
CCUUGACAGUCGUAUAAUGCGGCUGACAUUUGCCAAGACAAGGAGACACACAUG